rnacentral:misc_RNA from 1 species
GGAGAAAAAUCGUGAGUAGCGUUACAGGUAACACCCUGUAUACAUAUGUUCUUCUUAGAGCUUCCCUUGGAUAUGUAUAUUCCCCUACUCUUCAUUCUGUGAGUUCUACCAUUCCCCUUAGCCACCACUAGCACCGUCACUUCGUUCGAAGAGUACUGGCGAGAAAAGGAUCUCAUUUUACGAACAGCACUGGCUGCUAUCAGAAGUUUUUAAACAAAGACUGUGCGAGAAACGCGUCGUCAGGCGUACAUAGUGUGGCGUUGCCUCUCGUCCUUUUCUGGGCUUGUGAUAUAGUUUUUGCUUUUUUUGUGCCAUCUGAUCUUGUGGGUUGUUUGAUUAAUCGUUUUUUCAGUGCCAAUUUUUCUUUACAUCCAUUUUUUUAAGCAGAGUCGCGAGCACAGUCUCAAACCAAGAUAUUUUACAAGAGAUACACGCCAAGUUAGAUGAAAUAUGUUGUUCGUGGUUUAGAUUUGGAAACUUGAACAAUAGAGAAGGAGAGAAAAUGAUUCAAAUAUAUUCUUAUCAAACAGUGCUUGCAAUAUUAUUAUUUGCAACGACUAUCAUAUCAAGUGUUGCAGAUCCACAAUAUGCUAGGGAAAGGUUACCGAUCAGAGGUUCUCAGGUAAAAAGGAAACAUCCAUGCGAACAAAGUUCGUGCUAUCCUGCCACUGGAAAUUUAUUAAUUGGAAGAAAAAAUCGAUUGAAUGCAUCUUCGACUUGUGGUCUUAACGGGCCAGAAAGAUACUGUAUUGUUUCGCAUUUGAAGGACCGAAAAAAGUGCUUCUUCUGCGACGCUUCUUUACCAAAGCAGCAACAUAAUAUCGAAAAUAUUGUUACUGACAAAAACUGGUGGCAAGCGGAAAAUGGCGUAGAAAAUGUAACAAUACGUUUCGAUUUAGAAGCAGAGUUUCAUUUCACCCACAUCAUCAUUCGUUUUAAAACCUUCCGACCAGCAGCUAUGUUGAUUGAAAGAUCUUACGAUUUUGGAAAAACCUGGAAGGUAUAUCGAUACUUUGCCCAUAAUUGCGAACAAUACUUCCCGGGAGUAUCUACAGAGCAACCGCAAACACUAACCGAUGUCAUCUGUGAAACGAGAUAUUCUGGCGUGGCGCCAUCGACGGGUGGUGACGUUAUCUUCAGAGUUCUACCUCGAAAUCUUGAGAUCGACAAUCCGUAUUCAAAAGAAGUGCAAGAUCUUUUAAAAAUCACGAACCUUCGCAUAAAUAUGACCAGAUUACAUACUUUAGGAGAUGAUUUGUUGGACGAUCGCGCCGAAAUUCGGGAAAAAUACUACUAUGCGAUUCAAAAUAUGGUGAUCCGUGGUUCUUGUUCUUGCUAUGGUCAUGCUUCAAGAUGUUUACCUCUUCCUGGUGUCGCUGACGAGGAGAACAUGGUGCACGGUAGAUGCGAGUGCACACAUAACACCACAGGAUUGAAUUGCGAAAAAUGUCAAGAUUUUUAUAAUGAUUUACCAUGGAAGCCAGCCGUUGGAAAACAAACGAACGCAUGUAGACCAUGUAACUGUAAUAAUCAUUCCACCUCAUGUCACUUUGAUGAUCUUGUUUACGAACAAUCUGGACGCGUAUCUGGUGGCGUUUGCAAUAAUUGUCAACAUAAUACUGAAGGACGAAACUGCGAACUGUGUAAACUGUUCUAUUAUCACGACGUGACUAAGGAUAUAUCUCAUCCUGAAGCGUGUUUGCCUUGUGAUUGCGAUCUUAAUGGUUCCUUGGAUGACGGUAUAUGUGAUUCGAGAACUGACCCCCUUAGUGGAGGCGAAUCUGGUCGUUGUCGCUGUAAAGCAAAUGUGGAAGGUCGUCGUUGCGAUCGCUGCAAAAAUGGAUAUUGGAAUUUUGAUCCUGCAAAUCCCGAAGGAUGUCAAGCUUGCACAUGUAAUACUUUGGGUACCAUCGACAAUCGAGGCUGUAACAUGGUUACCGGUGAAUGUACUUGCAAACGCUACGUCACUGCUCGUGAUUGUAACCAAUGUCUUCCGGAAUAUUGGGGCCUUUCGGAAGAUCCGGAUGGUUGCAAACCUUGCGACUGUGAUCCUGGUGGUUCAUACGAGAAUUCCUGCGAUGUUAGAACUGGCCAGUGCCGUUGCAGACCUCAUAUUAGUGGCAGAACCUGUAAUCAACCUGAACAGAGUUAUUACACUGGAUCACUGGACUUCUUAAUUUAUGAAGGAGAAUUAGCCGGAGCUUCUGAUAAUUGUCAAGUGGUGAUUAGAGAACCUUAUCGCGACGGAAGAAACAGUACUUGGACCGGAACUGGAUUUAUGAAGGCAUUGGAGGGUUCAGUGUUGAAUUUCACGAUCGACGAUAUUCGUAAAACAUUGUGGUACGAUAUAAUUGUGCGUUAUGAACCUAUUCAACAAGGAGUCUGGGACAAUGUGCAAAUAAUCAUUGAAAGAGACGGGUCAGUAGAUCCAAAUGGUCCCUGUGCUGACUGGAGACCGGAGUACGAUCAGUUAUGGGCGCAGUUACCUCUACGAUCUAGGAGCAUCGUUGCGCAACCUUCCGUUUGCUUGGAAGCAGGAAAACGAUAUAAUUUAUUAUUGCAAUUCCGCAAAUUCAAUAGCCACGUGGAUACACCUUCAGCAUCCAUUUUAGUUGAUUCGUUUACUACUAAUGAGCACCGCCCUUUGUUUGACGCCACGCCGCUCAUAGCGGAUGCCACUGGCACGACGUCGCUUGGAGCGUAAAGAAGAACAAAUUGGACUUUUCGUGUUACUCAAAUUCAAUGAUGUUUGCACACAUUUAGUACAUACAUCUAUAAUAGUACUCCCUGUCUUUGUAACAAACGAAGAAUCUCCUGUUUACGAUGUCUUCCAAGAAUUAUAUUUGGUUGUUUCAAAACAAGCGCGAUAAAAUGUUAGGACACAUUUUAUGUUUAACAGUUAGUAACAAAACUUGUGUUGAUAAUCACAAAAAUGGGACAUGAAAAAAAAUUGAACGAAACAGAUAAAAAUGAUUUUAAAUUUAAAAAAGGCUCAAGUAUUUCGAAAAUUUCAAAAUUAGUAAAUAGAAAUCGAAAUGUUAUUCAUAAUUUGUUAAAAAAUCCUGAAGUUUAUGGCAAAAAGAAAGCGAGAGGUCAAUUUAAAAAAAUGGCAGCACAUCGUUGACAACACAUUAAUAUGCACAGGAAGCAGACAUAUCUAUAAAUGUGCAGAAUUUACAACGUCUUUUACAAAAAUUUAAAGAUAAAAUGCAAUUUGCUCUAAAACACUUAAGACAGAAGAAAAGGUUGAAAAGAGUUAUAUUCUCAAAUGAGAAAAGAUUGACAGACCUGAUUGCUAGUCGUAUUAUUUUAUUACCUCAGGAAAGAUCAACAAUAUCAAACGAGACGACGAAUGAAAGGAGAUAAACUUACUUGGGGUACAAUUGAGUACAAAGGGAAGACAUCCAUACAUUAUAGAUGGAAAAAUGAAAAGUAGAGAUUACGUCGUUCUAAUAAAUUAAGAAAUCAUGACACGUGCAGAACGCAUAAAUGGCGAUGAAUACAUAUUUCAAAACAACAAUGCAGCUGUACAUCCUGUUGAAACUGUCGUAACAUAUUUUGAUACAAAUAAUAUUCAGCUUUUAUGUUGACCAGCAAGAUCAUCUGUUUUAAAUAUUAUUGAGAGUAUAUGGGGUGAAUUGAUCCGUUAUAUACAUGUAUACCAUGGCACCAUGCCAAUGUAAUUCCCUGCAAGAAUUAAAAAUCACUAUACAUUGAAAUUCAAUUUCUAAAAAGUUUAUAAAAAAGUGAUACAAAAUCCUACCAAAAAGAUUAUUAGAAGUCAUAGAAAAAAGGAAAAUGUACAGGAAAUAUACACACAUUAUUAUUC